GUGGGGAAUAUUGGACAAUGGGCGAAAGCCUGAUCCAGCCAUGCCGCGUGUGUGAAGAAGGUCUUCGGAUUGUAAAGCACUUUAAGUUGGGAGGAAGGGCAGUAAGUUAAUACCUUGCUGUUUUGACGUUACCGACAGAAUAAGCACCGGCUAACUUCGUGUCAGCAGCCGCGGUAAUACGAAGGGUGCAAGCGUUAAUCGGAAUUACUGGGCGUAAAGCGCGCGUAGGUGGUUUUGUAAGUUGGAGGUGAAAUCCCCGGGCUCAACCUGGGAACUGCCUCCAAAACUGCAUGACUAGAGUACGGUAGAGGGUAGUGGAAUUUCCUGUGUAGCGGUGAAAUGCGUAGAUAUAGGAAGGAACACCAGUGGCGAAGGCGACUACCUGGACUGAUACUGACACUGAGGUGCGAAAGCGUGGGGAGCAAACAGGAUUAGAAACCCCUGUAGUCC
rnacentral:rRNA from 1 species